CAUAGAUAACAAUAAUUGACUUACAAUCCUACUAGUGAUAGUAGUAGUUGGCAUACAAUACUAUAAUGGAUAAUAGUAAUUUCUAUUUUGCCGAUUAUAAUCUUAUCACAAGUAUAACAAUAACCUUAGCAUUUAAUCUAUAGAAGUAAUUUAAAUUAUAAUAUGAUUAAAUGUCAAAUAUUUUAUGACUUUGCUUAUAUUAUAUACAUGAAAUCGUGUGUAUAAAUAUUAAUUUAUGUAUGCAUUACUAGCUUUAUGACUUAUUUUAUUAUAUAAUAUCAUAAAAUAUUUUAAUCUUAAAAUAAUUAUUUUUUCUAAAUAAAUUUGUGUGAAAAUUUAUACUUAAUCUGAUAAGAUUGUAUCAAAUUUACUCGAUGAAUUGGGUCACUAAAAAUAAAGGAUAAUCCACACUUAGUUUGAAUUCAUACCAGCAAGUUUGAUGAUUUUAUAGCACAAUUUUAGAUCUUACAAUUGAUCACUUUGAAUUUUGAUGUUCUGAAUCUUGAUGUUUGAAUUUUGAUUUAGUCAUUCUG
rnacentral:lncRNA from 1 species